rnacentral:lncRNA from 1 species
AUUUAUGAAGAACAGAAAUGUAUUUUCUCACAGUUCUGGAGGCUGGCAAGUCUAAGAUCAAGGCAUCCAUAUCUGAUGAAGGCCUUGUUGCUGUGUCCUCACAUGGUAGAAGGCAGAAGGGGAAGAGGGAGAUGAAUCCUGUGUCUUCACAUGGCCGAAGAGAGCGAGAGAGUAAAGCCAUUCCUGCAAGCGUUUUUACAGUGGCAUUAAUCCCUUCAUGAGGUGUGUAAUAGUGAGCUUGCUAGAGAAAGUUUAGAACUUCAUGAAGAUUCCAUCUAAGUAGGAAGACAUAUGAUGAACAAUAUGAAAAGAUAAUGAGUAAUAUAGAAAGUCCAGGAUGUUCAGGGAACACAAUGAAAGGGACUCAGCAAACAAGAACUGAGAAAAAUCUUCACAGGAAAUGUCCUUUAAACUGAGGCUUAAAAAAUGAGCCACACCAACAGAUAAUGAAAGAGAUUUCAGACAGAUUAAACAUCAGGUGCAAAAUCUUAACGGCUUCAAUAUGUUUGACAAUUUGAGCAACUGGAAGAAGGUAACCC